rnacentral:lncRNA from 1 species
AGACGAGGCCAGACGGGGAAAGGGCUCAGAGAGGUAAAGGGCUCGGAGUCGCUGGGGGGAGGGGUUCCCACUGGAGGUAACUGAGAGGUGCAGGGGGGCUCGGAGAAUACCGGCUGCAGGGAACGAAGCCGAAGGUUCUGAACGGUCAAGCGAAAAGGCCAGGUGCAGGGAGGCGAAAGGAGGCCAGAGUGCAAACAGCAGGAGAAAUCCUGCGAGCCCCCCCUUCUCCGGGCCGGAGCCCGGGUGCACGCUCGUCCCAAACCCGCCGCGCUGCCCACCUUCCGGAGAGGAACCCCGCGCGCGGCAGAGCCGGACGCCAGGGGCUGGACGCCCAACCACCUAGUCACUCCCCAGGACGCAGUUAUCGCGCGCAAAGCAGCUGGGGGACCCCGCAAGGAAACUCAGGCACAAUGGAGCCCGCUUCUUUUUCUGUCAACUCUGAAUGCUAUGUCUGGUUUGGUCCUGGCUGCUAGUUCGAAGCUGGAACAUCCUCCAGAGCUGGGGCCCAUUUCCUUUUAUUUGCCUUGGGCCCCAAAUGAAAAGCAUCUAUCCGCAUGCCUAAUAAAAAUUUUCUUAAAUCGGGCCACGCAGGCUUUUUCCCAGGUUCUGCGCCCUGACCCCAUUCCCUCUGCUCAUGCUUUUGGCAUUGUAUUGGAGUGUGUUGACUUGACCAAGCUCCCAAACAACCUCCCUGCUCCACCUCAGCUUGGUCUGCCCAGAGGCUCGUACCCCAACCAUCACCCCCCAGCCACCAGAUCGGUGGCAGUAUGUUGUUGGGUCUUGUUGACAUUUUAGAGAGAAAAGCGCCAGAGGUGAAGUUUUCUCGGGUUUUAUAUCUCAAAGCGAUUUGUUCUUGGGAACAGAAUUCUGUCUGAAGUAUUAAUAAUUCGGCUCUAGGUGUCCAGCCCCGUUCAUAUUCAUGAUGUGAAACGGGCAACCAUGCACCUAUCCCUGCAGAACCCACUCCGGGUACAAAUCCGGUAACCUUUCAAGACGCGUGUCAAGGGAAGCUGGAGACCUGGCUUUCCCAGUGGGGGUUCAGCUCCCGGGAGGGGGGAGAGGAGCCCGAGGCCCGCGCCGUCUCGUUUCCUGGUAGGAGAAGGUGCAGGCGGAGGCGGGGCCUCCCGUGAUACAGGUGGCAGCUCUCGUCCCCUGAGAGCGGGCGAAGGCCAGGGUCCCACACUCGCAGCGCUGCGACGGCGCUCGGGACCUCCCUCGUCCACUGCUUGAGUUCCAGAGCGCCAGAGACCCAAGUUGAGGAACAGCCUAUAAAAUAACUGGCCUGUACUCUUACAUACAUGAAAGCCAUCAAAGACAAAGACUGAAGAAGAACUUUUGCAGAUUAAAGGACUUUAAGAGACAUGAUCCUGAACCAGAAAAAGUAAAAAAUAAAAAAAUAAAAAGAUCUGUAGAUUAGAUAAUAGUUUUAUAUCCAUGUUAAUUUCCCAUUUGUUGUAAUAUUACUGUGGUUGGGCAAGAGAGUGUCUUUGUUGGUGGAAGUAUCUACUGAAGUAUUUAGGGGUAAAGAGGAAUCAUGUCUGUAACUUAUGCUCAAAAGGUUCAGACAAAAUAUAUGUAAAGGGAAUGAUAAAGCAAACGCAAUAAAAUGUUAACAUUGGGGAAUCUGUAUAAGGGAAUUAUUAACUUUUCUGUAAGUCUAAAAUUAUUUCAAAUUAAAAAUAAUUUUUUUAAGCCUCAGAGGACAUUUUGCUGCCACCGCCUUGCUGGUGGUUGACAAGGCUCUGUGUCAUGACUUUUUUUUCUGCUAAUCUAACUACUUGUACUGUAAAAUAAACCCAUUUUCUUUGUUUUUUCCUUAGUGAAUGAAAGAGGGUGAAAGAAAAGGUCACCAUUUUCUGUAUAGUAAUCCGUUCAUAUACUUUAAGGUCGUUCUUAACUCACCUUUCCUAGACUAAAUAACUGCAAACUCUUUAAAGUUUUCAUUGUGAAUCUUACUUUCCUGCUCUUUAAUUAUCUUCAUUACCCUCCUUUGACCCUUUUUCUCAUCACUUUUAGAGAGCAGCUCUUGAACUGGACAGAAUACAAAUGUGUCUGCUGGGGCUUCACUGUUGACACAGUGGUACCUAUAUGUCAUAAUCUUUUUUUAUUUUUUUGAGAUUCAAUUAUUUUUAUUCCAGAGAUAUAAGUAAAAAUGUAAGGCCGGGCAUGGUGGCUCACACCUGUAAUCCCAGCACUUUGGGAGGCCAAGGCGGGCAGAUCACCUGAGGUCAAGAGUUUGAGACCAGCCUGGCCAACAUGGUGAAACCUCGUCUCUACUAAAAAUACAAAAAAAAUCAGCUGGGCAUGGUGGUGCACUCCUGUAGUCCCAGCUACUCGGGGAGGCUGAGGCAGGAGAAUCACUUGAACCCAGGAAGCAGAGGUUGCAGUGAGCCAAGAUUGUGCCACUGCACUCCAGCCUGGGCAACAAAGGGAGACUCCAUCUCCAAAAAAAAAAAGGUAGGCCGGGUGUGGUGGCUCACGCCUGUAAUCCCAACACUUUGGGAGGCCAAGGUGGUUGGAUCACGAGGUCAAGAGAUCGAAACCAUCCUGGCCAACGUGGUGAAACCCCGUCUCUACUAAAAACACAAAAAAUAGCCGGGCAUGGUGGCGCACACCUGUAGUCCCAGCUACUCGGGUGGCUGAGGCAGGAAAAUUGCUUGAAUCCGGGAGGCAGAGGUUGCAGUGAGCCAAGAUGGCGCCACUGCACUCCAGCCUGGCGACAGGCGGAGACUCCAUCUCAAAAAAAGAAAAAAAAAGUGAACAGAUAUAUUGACAUAAAAUUCAUAAAACAUAUGGGUAUAUUAAAAACUGGAAACUCAGGUUGCCUUUGAGGAUAAGAACUGAGGGCCUAUGUGUCAAGAAUACUUUGCAGUUAGCCACCGCGCUCAGCCCUCUAGAUCUUUGUUAGUGUUUUAAUUGCACAUACUUAGUUAUUCUCUUGUACUUAUAAGAAAAUCUAAGCUGGGCGUGGUGGCUCACGCCUGUAAUCCUAGCACUUUGGGACACUGAGGUGGGCAGAUCACUUGAGUUCAGGAGUUGGAGACCAGCCUGGCCAACAUGGUGAAACCCCGUCUUUACUAAAACACAAAAAUUAGACGGGCAUGGUUGCAGACACCUGUAAUUCCAGCUACUCAGGAGGCUGAGGCAUGAGAAUCACUUGAACCUGGGAGGCAGAGGUUGCAGCGAGUUGAGAUGGGGCCACUGCACUCCAGCCUGGGCAACAGAGCAAGACUUCAUCUCAAAAAACAAAACAAAAUCUUCUACAGUGAAUCAAAGUAUGAAAAUAUUCUCAAAUUAUAUAGCGGCAAUGCUUGCACAAAUCUUUUUAUGUACUAAAAACCACUGAAUUAUAUACUUUAAAAGGGUGAAUAUUAUGGUAUGUGAGAAUUAUAUUUCAAUUUUUAAAAAAGCAAAUCAAAGUAGAAACCUGUGUUCUGAGGCUACCAAAAGCCACUGAUACUCUUAGUUAUUCAUACUAGAUGCAUUUGUAAAAGACACCACAUUUUAUACUCCCUGGACAUGUCUAGCCUCUGAAGUGGAGAGGCAAGGAGAAGUGAUGAUCAAGAUAAAUAUAUAAAUUAUAAUUAUCCAUUACUCUGUGCAUUACACAUUUAAAGAAAUUACUGGCCUGAACCUUUAUUAUAGCGAUUAUUACAGAUCAUGAGGAAAAGUAUGGGUUUAAUAGUUGGCUCUGCCAUUUGCUACCUUGUGGCCUUGGGCAUGUUCCUUAACCUCACAAGAACUCAGUUUUACCUGUAAAAAUGGGGACUUUGAUGAUGUACACUUCAUAGGUUUUAAGGAGAGAGAUUUUUGCGUACAAAAGCUUCCUAAGGAAAACAAACCUGAGAACCAGGAAGGUUACUACUGAAGAGGAAUCUCCAAGUGAGGGGGGUUCUUUCCAGACAACCACAAAGGCUGAUGAUUCUCUGGCCUUAGCGUAGACAAAAGACACCAUUGAGGCAUUUGAGCAAGACUUUACUGACUGCUAUGUCAUAGGAAAAUACACAGAAAAAUACAGAUAGGGAAAUGCGCCAUUAAUCUGCACAGCAUGGCUUAUAAGAUCCCCCUGAUCCUUGGGGAUCACAAAACUGAUCCCAUUUAACUGGGCAUCCAGGUAAAAAGAGAUGCCACCAAGAGAAUUCCUCCCUCCUUACUGCUGGCCUUUUGCCAUCAAGGUAUCAAUUACCCCUGUCCCUGAGCCCCUUGCCCAGGAGUAAGUCCCUGUCUCUUCCAAAGCCCAAAGAGAGGAAAGCACAGCAGCACGCCUUAUCUUUUAAGUCAAGGUGGGGUUGACAAGGGUGAAUGUUUAAAGAAGGAAAGGAAGUUUUGUUUCUCUUCUUUCCUAAGGCCCUAUGCAUCCCUGUAGCCUGCCUACUCACCUAUCCAUUUGGCUGAUAAAGGGCCAAUUUUAUUAUUCUGGCAAAAUGUAACCUAAAAACCAGGAAAUAGUUGUCGCCCUGUUUUAUGUCUGUUUGAAGUGUGUGAAAUGGCCAGGUGUGGUGGCUCAUGCCUGUAAUCUCAGCACUUUGGGAGGCCAAGGCGGGCGGAUCACCUGAGGUCAGUUCAAGACCAGCCUGGCCAACAUGGUGAAACCCCGUCUCUACUAAAAAUACAAAAAUUAGCUGGGUGUGGUGCACGCCUGUAGUCCCAGCUACUCAGGAGGCUGAGGCAGGAGAAUGGCGUGAACCCAGGAGGUGGAGCUUGCAGUGAGCCGAGAUUGUGCCACUGCACUCCAGUCUGGGCGACAGAGCGAGACUCCAUCUCAAAAAAAAAAAAAAAAAAAAAAAAGAAGUUGAAUCUCUUCCUCACACCACACAGAAAAACGAAUUUAAAAUAAAUGUCCAUUACACACCAGACUAUUGAUAAAAUAAAAAUAAAAAAUAAAUAAAAUGAUGGACCAAAAUGUAAGAGUUAAAUCUAUAAAAUGGGAAAAAUGGAGUACAUCUUCAUGAUUUUGUAUUAGGCAAUGGCUUCUUAAAUAUGACUCCAGAAGAACAAGCAACAAAAGAAAAAAAGGAUGAAUUGAAAUUCAUCAAAAUUAAAAGCUUUAGUACAUCAAAGGACAUGAUCAGGAAAAUGAAAAGACACCCCACAGAAUGGGAGAAAAUAUUUGUAAAUCAUAUAUCCGAUAAGGGUCUAGUAUCCAGAAUAUACAGAUUUUUUCUUUUUCUUUUUUUUUUUUUUUUUGAGAUGGAGUUUCCCUCUUGUUGCCAGGCUGGAAUGCAAUGGCACGAUCUCAGCUCACCGCAACCUCCACCUCCUGGGUUCAAGCGAUUCUCCUGCCUCAGCCUCCCGAGUAGGUGGAAUUACAGAUAUGUGCCACCAUGCCUGGUUAAUUUUGUAUUUUUAGUAGAGAUGGUGUUUCUCCAUGUUGGUCAGGCUGGUCUCGAACUCCCGACCUCAGGUUAUCCACCCACCUUGGCCUCCCAAAGUGCUGAGAUUACAGGCAUGAGCCACCACGCCUGGGCCAAAAAAAAUUUAUAACUAAAAAAUGAAAGUUCUACUUGCUGUAGCUCUUGGGGGAAAAGAAAAACAAAAGACAAAUCACCCAGUCAAAAAAUGGGCAAAAUAUUUGAAUGGACAUUUCUUUAAGAAAUGUACACCAGUCACAGUGGCUCACACCUAUAAUCCCAGCACUUUGGGAGGCCGAGGUGGGUAGCUUACUUGAGUCCAGGAGUUUGGACCAGCCUGGGCAACAUGGCGAAACCCAUCUCUACAAAAAUUAGUGAGUGUGGUGGUGCUCAGCUGUGGUCCCAGCUACUCAGGCGGCUGAGGUGGGAGGAUGGCUUCAGGAGGUCGAGGCUGCAGUAGGCUGAGAUGGCCCCACUGCACUCCAGCCAGGGCAACAGUGUGAGACCCUGUCUCAAACAAACAUAUAUAUAUAUACACACAUACACAAAUGGAUAAGUACAUGAAAAAAUGUCCACUAGGAAAUACCAUUUUUAUCUACACUAAACUGGCUAAAAAUAAAAAGGCAGACCCAAGUGUUGACAAUAUAUGGAGAAAUUGGAACCCUGAUUCAUUGUUGGGGGGAUUGUAAAAUGGUACAGUCACUUUGGGAAUAGCCUGACAGUUCCUCAAAAGGUUAAACAAAGAAUUACAAUAUGGCUCAGCAAUUCCAGUCCUAGUAUAUACCCAAGAAAUGUGAAGCCAUAUGUCCAUGGAAAACCUUAUACACAAAUGUUCACAGCAGUAUUAUUCAUAAUAGCCAGAAAGGAGAGGAUCGCUUGAGCACAGGAGGUGGAGGUUGCAGUGAGCCAAGAUGGCGGCACUGCACUCCAGCCUGGGUGACAGAGUGAGACCCUGUCUCAAAAAAAAAAAAUUAGCCAGAAAGUAGAAGCAAUCCAAUUGUCCAUCAACUGAUGAAAGGCUAAACAAAAUGUAGCACAUCUUCUCUAGAAAAAAAAAAUUAGUCAUUUAUCUAUAAAAGGAUAAAGAAGUACUGAUACAUGCUACAAUCUGGAUUAAUCUUGAAAACUUUAUGCUUAGUGAAAGAAACGAGUCACAAAGGCCACAUGUCAUAUAAUUCAAUUUAUAUGAAAUGUCCAAAAUAGGCAAAUUCGUAGUGACUGAAAGUAGAUUAAUGGUUGCCAGGGGCUGGAAGCAAAGGAAGAAUGGGGAAUUUCUUCUAAUGAAUACAGGGUUUCUUUUGGGGUGAUGAAAUGUUCUAAAAUGACAGUGAUGUUGAGUUUACAACUCUGAUACACUAAAAACCACUGAGGUGUAAAAGGAUGAAUUUUAUGGUGUGUGAAUAAUAUGUCAAUAAAGCUGUUAUAAAAAAGAACUUAUCAUAUAGCAUUAAAAUUAUGUCUUCAUAUGUAUUUCUUCCUCUUACUAGAAUUAGACUACAUGGUAGGCAGCAAAUACUAACAAGAAAGAAAUUAAGAGACAAAAAAAGAAUAAAAAUGACAGAAGAAAAAAAUCAAACUAAAACAAAACAAAAAAAUAGAAUUAGACUAUGAGCUUUCUUCAUCCUUACACAUGGUUAGAUACUCAACGAACACAAUAAAUACUUGAUGAUCCAGUAAUUAAUUCAUUGAUCUAAUCUUUGAAAGAAGUUUAAGACAUUAACAGGCAGUUGGAAGGGAAGAUUAUUCUCUGCAAAGGCAGUGGCUGAGCACAGAGAAGGAAGGGCAGUAGGCUUGAGCAGCCAGCAGUUCUUGAUUGGCUAGGAGAAGCAGGGAAGGAAGCAGUACAGAUAAGGGUGUUAAGGGCUGUACUACCUACUAAAUUUGCUCCAUAUUUAAUUGUUGUUAAAUAUUGUUAAUUCAUAGUGCUUGGCUGACUAAAAAUAUUUUCAGAGAAAAUGACGAUUCAGUCUCUUUCCCCUGCACUUUUUCUUGUCUCCUUAGUGUAAUCAAAAGCUACAAGUGAGGCUGGGUGUGGUGGCUAACACCUAUAAUCCCAGCACUUUGGGAGGCCGAGGCAGGCGGAUCACUUGAGGUCAGGAGUUUGAGAGCAGCUUGGCCAACAUGGAGAAACCUCAUCUCUACUAAAAAUAUGAAAAUUAGACGAGGUGGUGGCGUGCGCCUGUAGUCUCAGCUGCUUGGGAGGCUGAGGCAGGAGAAUCACUUGAACCCGGGAGGCGGAGGUUGCAGGGAGCCAAGACUGUGCCACUGCACUCCAACCUGGGCAACAGAGCGAGACUCCAUCUCAAAAAAAAAAAAGCUACAAGUGAGAUUGUGCCAAUUGGAACAAAACAAGAAGUAAAAGUUUCAUCUCUGAUGGGCUCUGGCCAGCGCUGCCCCCCGGGCCUUCUGCUCUAGAAGCCCAUGGUGAUCCUCAUGUGCCAUUCACCUGGCUACUUGGCCCUAAUUUCACACAGUUCGAAGCCAGAAACCUGCUGUUUGAGCCUACCUUCCCAGAGUCCUUCCUUCUUUCAUGAAUUGAACAAACAUUCAUUGAACACCUGCUUUUUGCCAGAGAUUAUGUGAGGCAUGGGAUAUGGCAGCAAAUAAGUCAACUUUGCUGUCAAUAUAUGUCAUAGUAGUCAUUGUUGAGUUGAGGCAUUUCUAUUUGGCUAUUAGUAGCAUUGGUUUAGAAAGAGCCUCAAAACCCUCUCUAGUGGACUUCUUGUGAGAACACUACCUUAUAUUUGAAUAGAACUAUUCAAGGAUUUCACAUGCAAUAUUCCAUUUGAUACUAAAAUCUAUUUUAAAAAAAGAAGAGAGGGCAGGUAUUGUCUUCAUUUUGCAGAUGAGGCCAAUGAGAUUCGGAUAGGUUAAAUGAUUCCUUCGAGUUCACACAGCUAGUAAACAGCGAAGCCUGCUUGGGAACCCAGCUGCGACUUCUAAUUGGUUGCUUUUCCCGUUACCCCUUAUGGAGACCAGAAGAUCCAGCUUCUUAGGAGGCAGCUGCCUCUGUCUGUGUGUAAACAAUAAGGCAGCAAAAGACUGUUGGGUUUGCUCUUUUUAAAUUUUUAAUAAACCAUCACUGUGUUUAUUAUCAAUUUAAUAAACAAGCAACCAUCAAGAAGCAAAGUAAUGAACCCAGCAGAUAGGGACAUUGUGAAAAUAUGUUUCUAUGAGACUUGUAAGUGCACAGUUAGUGAGAACAGAAAUCAAAUUUUUAGCAAAAGAUGUAGUUCCUGACUGGUGGGGGCCACCCAGAACUCUCUCCUGGAGAUCCUUCUCAUUUACCUCAGCUGUGAGCCUCUGUGUGAAUGAUUUCCAAAUUCAGUUCAACAGGUGUUGAAUCAAUGACCUACAGAAUGUCCCACGCACUCAGAAUAUAAACAAGAAUGAAGCUCACCUCAGGUUUCAGAGCUCCCAGGCUGCAUUAGGAAAACAAAUAAUUAAAAUACAAUGUGUGCUGCUUAAGCACAGGAGUUUGAGAUCAACCUGGGCAACAUAGGGAGAAACCGUCUCUACAAAAAAUAAGAAAUUAGCCAGGUGUGGUAGAGAACGCCUGCGGGGGCUAACGUGGGAGGAUGGCUUGAGCCCAGGAGAGGUCGGGAGAGGUCGAGACUGUAGUGAGCCAUAUUGGUGCCAGUGCACCCUAGCCUGGCUGAGAGAGCAAGAACCCAUCUCAAAAACAAAACAAAACAAAACACCCCCCCCAAAAAAACCCACCACACACACAACAAAAUAAAACCAAUGUGGGCAUGGUGGCUCAAGCCUGUAAUCCUAGCACUUUGGGAGGCCAAGGUGGGUGGAUUACUUGAGCCCUGGUAUUUGAGACCAGCUUGGGCAACAUGGUGAGACCCUGUCUUGACAAAAAAUAAAAAAUUAGCCAGGCCUGGUGGCGCAUGCCUGUACUCCCAGAUACUUCGGAGGCUGAAGUGGGAGGAUCACUUGAGCCCAUGAGGUUGAGGCUGCAGUGAGCCAUGAUCAUGUCACUGCACCCCAGCCUGGGCAACAGAGUGAGACCCUGUCUCAAACAAAACAAAACAAACAAAAAACAACGAAUACAUCUCAUAAUGGGCAAGUGCUCUAACGAUGUAGAAGUUUUUCUAAAAAAUAAGGUGAGGAAGCACUUACGUGUAGUAAACAUUACUUUAUAAUUCUACAUCUGAAAUCGUAAAUCUUUCAAUCUCUAAGCUUUCCAGUUUCCUUAAUGAAAAUAAAUAACAUUUUUAUUUAAUACUUAUGAUGCAGUGGACAUUAUGCUAACUGCUUUACAGGUAGUAUAUCUCAUUUAAUCUUCAUAACAACCUUAUUUUUUUUUUUUUCAUUUUACAGAUCAAGAAUCUGAGGCUCAGGGAGGUUAAAUGACUUGUUCCAGGUCCCACAGCCAAGAAGUGGGAAGAGCCAAUUUGGUCUCCUAAGUGCAUCCUCUUAAUUGUGAUCCUGUAUGGCCUCUUUUUCUCCUAAUGCAAUGUUCUCUGAUCUUACCUCCAAACUUUGGCCUCUGUUUUCUCCGGUCUCUCAGCCGUCACCUAUCCUUCUCUGUCUAUCCUCCUACCAUGCCAGACCACUCACAGGUACCCCCUGGUGUGUGGUGUGGUAUCUCUUUGCCUUUGCACACAUGUUCCCUCUACCUGGAUGAGCCAAUCACAGAGCCACCAAACUCAUUUGUAAAUCUGGCCAAGUGAAAGAUGAAAAUGAGCCACAGUAGUAUACAGUAUAUUUGAAACAAUGGCCGGGCGCAGUGGCUCAUGCCUGUAAUCCCAGCACUUUGGGAGGCCGAGGUGGGUGGAUCACCUGAGGUCAGGAGUUUGAGAUCAGCCAGGCCAACAUGGCGAAACCCUGUCUCUACUAAAAAUACAAAAAAAUUAGCCAGCUGUUGUGGCGGUUGCCUAUAAUCCCGGCUACUCAUAAGGCUGAGGCAGGAGAAUCACUUGAACCCAGGGGUUGGAGGUUGCAGUGAGCCAAGAUUGCGCCACUACACUCCAGCCUAGGCGAAAGAGGGAAACUCCAUCUAAAAGAAAAAAAAAAAAAAGAAAAAGAAAGGAAACGUUAAUGUCAUUUCUAUAACACUGAAAAAAUUUAAGAGAUUACGGAAGUGGAAAACUUAUGGUAGCAUUUAUAAGUGAAAAGAUCUUAUUCAUAGAAUGUAGGAACACAUUCUAAGUGCAGUUGUAACAUUCACAUAAUUUCAUCCUGUAUUGUAGGACAAAGAUAUACACAGUUAAUACUUCAAGUUAUUAUUUCUAUAUAUGGCAUUCUUAGACUAUAACAAAACAAAAAUUUUAAUGUGUUUCAAUGCAAUGUCUUUAAAAAUAAGCAUAUGUAUGUGUGUGUAUGUGUGGCACAUAUAUAUGUAUAUAUACAUAUAGUCUCUUAAAACCUAAAUCAUAAAGCGAAUCUGGGUC